rnacentral:RNase_P_RNA from 1 species
CGAGUUAGCCAGACAAUCGCUGCUUUAUCGUUGUAUUUAAUGUUUCGGCAUCAGAUAGACAGAUAAAGGGGAGGAAAGUCCGGGCUCCACAGAGCAGAGUGCCAGAUAACGUCUGGGCGGCGUAAGCCGACGACAAGUGCAGCAGAGAGAAGACCGCCUAAGCAUAUUUGUGCCGGUAAGGGUGAAAGGGUGCGGUAAGAGCGCACCGGGCCACUGGUAACAGUUGGCAGCAGGGUAAACUCCACUCGGAGCAAGACCAAAUAGGGUUUCUUUACUUUUUAUAGUAAGUGCGUGGCUCGCGUUGAAACCGGGUAGGUUGCUUGAGCCUUAGAGCGAUUUAAGGCCUAGACGAAUGAUUGUCCCUUUUCUUCGGAAGAGUACAGAACCCGGCUUAUAGGCUAACUCAAUUA